GAACUGAAGAGUUUGAUCAUGGCUCAGAUUGAACGCUGGCGGCAGGCCUAACACAUGCAAGUCGAGCGGAUGAGUGGAGCUUGCUCCAUGAUUCAGCGGCGGACGGGUGAGUAAUGCCUAGGAAUCUGCCUGGUAGUGGGGGACAACGUUUCGAAAGGAACGCUAAUACCGCAUACGUCCUACGGGAGAAAGUGGGGGAUCUUCGGACCUCACGCUAUCAGAUGAGCCUAGGUCGGAUUAGCUAGUUGGUGAGGUAAAGGCUCACCAAGGCGACGAUCCGUAACUGGUCUGAGAGGAUGAUCAGUCACACUGGAACUGAGACACGGUCCAGACUC
rnacentral:rRNA from 1 species